UAAGGCUGAGCUGUGAUGGGGAGUGAAAAUUACAGUAGCGAAGGUCAUGAUCUCACACUGCCAAGAAAAGCCUCUAGCCAGAUGAAGGUGCCCGUACCGCAAACCGACACAGGUAGGCGAGAAGAGAAUUCUAAGGCGCGCGGAAGAACUCUCGUUAAGGAACUCGGCAAAAUGACCCCGUAACUUCGGGAGAAGGGGUGCCCCGGUAGUGUGAAUAGCACGAGGGGGCCGCAGUGAAAAGGCCCAAGCGACUGUUUAGCAAAAACACAGGUCUGUGCGAAGCCGUAAGGCGAAGUAUACGGGCUGACGCCUGCCCGGUGCUGGAAGGUUAAGGGGAGUGGUUAGGAGCAAUCCGAAGCUGUGAACCGAAGCCCCAGUAAACGGCGGCCGUAACUAUAACGGUCCUAAGGUAGCGAAAUUCCUUGUCAGGUAAAUUCUGACCCGCACGAAUGGCGUAACGACUUGGGCGCUGUCUCAACGAGAGAUCCGGUGAAAUUUUAAUACCUGUGAAGAUGCAGGUUACCCGCGACAAGACGGAAAGACCCCAUGGAGCUUUACUGCAGCUUGAUAUUGAAUUUGGGUACGAUCUGUACAGGAUAGGUGGGAGCCUUUGAAGCCGGAGCGCCAGCUUCGGUGGAGGCACCGUUGGGAUACCACCCUGAUCGUAUCUAGGUUCUAACCUGGUACCGUAAUCCGGUGCGGGGACAGUGUCAGGUGGGCAGUUUGACUGGGGCGGUCGCCUCCUAAAGAGUAACGGAGGCGCCCAAAGGUUCCCUCAGAAUGGUUGGAAAUCAUUCGAAGAGUGCAAAGGCAUAAGGGAGCUUGACUGCGAGACCUACAAGUCGAGCAGGGACGAAAGUCGGGCUUAGUGAUCCGGUGGUACCGCAUGGAAGGGCCAUCGCUCAACGGAUAAAAGCUACCCUGGGGAUAACAGGCUUAUCUCCCCCAAGAGUCCACAUCGACGGGGAGGUUUGGCACCUCGAUGUCGGCUCAUCGCAUCCUGGGGCUGAAGUAGGUCCCAAGGGUUGGGCUGUUCGCCCAUUAAAGCGGUACGCGAGCUGGGUUCAGAACGUCGUGAGACAGUUCGGUCCCUAUCUGUCGUGGGCGUAGGAAAUUUGAGAGGAGCUGUCCUUAGUACGAGAGGACCGGGAUGGACGUACCGCUGGUGUACCAGUUGUUCCGCCAGGAGCACCGCUGGGUAGCUAUGUACGGACGGGAUAAGCGCUGAAAGCAUCUAAGCGUGAAGCCCCCCUCAAGAUGAGAUUUCCCAGUAUGUAAGACCCCUUGAAGACGACGAGGUAGAUAGGCUGGGGGUGGAAGUGCAG
rnacentral:rRNA from 1 species